rnacentral:rRNA from 1 species
AUGGCUGCGGGUCAAGCCGACCGCGGUAGCGGCUUAUCUUUGGGAGAGGAGGAGAGGGGAGAAAAAGGAGAGGCCUGGCGGCGACUGAGGAGGUGCUACGCGCCGCCACCUCCACCUCGACGCGCCGCCAGAUCUCCACCUCGACGCGCCACCGGUCAUCUGCAUCCACGCGCCACCGGAAACUCCGCCUUGAACUUCGGUUUUUGUGGUGUUUCCCUCCAGUUUGUCAUGAACCACAGAAGGACGCACAGGAGCAGCAUCUGGCAUUCAGAGCCUGACAGGUUUCAUGGUUGCACACAAGCGAUGGGUCAAAGGAGCCUGCGAAAUAUUUUUGGUCCUAGGUAA